CCUACGGGAGGCAGCAGUGGGGAAUUUUGGACAAUGGGCGCAAGCCUGAUCCAGCAAUGCCGCGUAUGUGAUGAAGGCCUUCGGGUUGUAAAGCACUUUUGGCGGGAACGAAAAGGACUGUGCCAAUACCACGGUUCGAUGACGGUACCCGCAGAAUAAGCACCGGCUAACUACGUGCCAGCAGCCGCGGUAAUACGGAGGGUGCGAGCGUUAAUCGGAAUUACUGGGCGUAAAGAGUGCGCAGGCGGUUUUGCAAGACCGAUGUGAAAUCCCCGGGCUUAACCUGGGAACUGCAUUGGUGACUGCAAGGCUAGAGUGUGUCAGAGGGAGGUGGAACUCCGCAUGUAGCAGUGAAAUGCGUAGAUAUGCGGAAGAACACCGAUGGCGAAGGCAGCCUCCUGGGAUAACACUGACGCUCAUGCACGAAAGCGUGGGGAGCAAACAGGAUUAGAUACCCUUGUAGUC
rnacentral:rRNA from 1 species